UAAGACGAACCGUGCGAACGUUAUUCGGAAUCACUGGGCUUAAAGCGCGUGUAGGCGGCCCGGCACGUCAUUGGCUGAAAUCCCCCGGCUCAACCGGGGAAGGGGCCGUGAUACGACCGGGCUGGAGGGGGGUAGGGGGGACGGGAACUCACGGUGGAGCGGUGAAAUGCGUUGAGAUCGUGAGGAACGCCCGCGGCGAAAGCGCGUCCCUGGACCCCACCUGACGCUGAGACGCGAAAGCCAGGGGAGCGAACGGGAUUAGAUACCCCGGUAGUCCUGGCCGUAAACCAUGGGCACUGGGUAGGGGGCUCGCCGAUGGGCUCCCUGCCGCAGCGAAAGCGUGAAGUGCCCCGCCUGGGGAGUAUGGUCGCAAGGCUG
rnacentral:rRNA from 1 species